rnacentral:tRNA from 1 species
GCUGGGGUGGCGAAAUGGCAGACGCGCUGGCCCUAGGAGCCAGUGAUCGCAAGAUCGUGAGAGUUCAAAUCUCUCCCCCAGCA